AAAAGUAACACUUUAUAAUUGGAAAAUUAUUAUUUAAGAAAGUUUCAUCAUAUAAAGGCAUUACUAAUGUAUGGGGGUCAAUUAACUUAAAAUGGAUUUCAGCAAGGAAAUGACAUAAUGCACAAUUAUACCCACAUGUCUCUAAAGUUUUAUAAUCUUCUAAAUUUCCAGACUGAAGAUCUUUCCUUUCGUGAAACUUGUAUCAGGGAAACUAAACUGCAAGAAACAAGGAAAGAACAAUAUAAACAAUAUAAUCAUACAAUGAAGAUUAACAACAAGCGUUUUGUUAAUCAAAUCUCUCAAAAUGUACCAAAAUCAAUAAAAUUUCUAUGAAAAAUUACGAGUUGAUCGUUUGAAUUACUUUUGCAGAUGUUCCUAUAAACUUGCCAGCAUCUUCGAACAAUCCAAAACCUCAUUCUGACUCCGAUCGAGAACCAUAGUCUUCAAUUUUUCUCUCCUGCACGUCGUGAAUACAUUCUCCCCGGAUUGCAAUUACAUGCGCAUUCAUGUGUGACAAUCCGUACAGUGCUAAUUGUUUCGAACCACAAAAGAAACGCGAGAAGCUGUUCUUGCAUACCUCCACGUUGAACAGCGAGCGUCGGAUUCUAGGUGACGCCUAUGGUACCACCACCAACACGUUGACGUCUCACACAUGUGGAAGACUGGUCUUGUAAGAGGAUGGACAUCUCUCGCCUACACGCCUAGCAGAUCCGUGCUCUCGGGUGUCGAGGAAAUUUGCAUCGGAUCGGAGUGUGUCUGCCUAGUAACUGGCCGGCUUCGUUGCAACGGACUUCGCCACGGCCGGAUGCGAGAAACGGUCCAUGCACUACCUUUCUCCGGAGUCUUCUUCUCGCGUUCGUUCGCAUCCACGAUACAGUGCCAUCCGUGCACGCGAUGCUAGUACCAGGGAUGAGAUCAAGUCUAACGUCUACUUAUGAGUCUGAGUCAAGUUUCGUUUCAUAACUUUCGACUGCUACUUGAAAGUGAAAAUAUUUCGAAAGUGUCUAUGACUGUCAACUUUAACCUGUAUAUUUAUUGUAGUUCAAUGUAAUGACUUCAAUCUGUAUAUCUGUUGCAGUUCAAUUUCAUAUCUGUCAACUUAAUAUCGUGGUUCAGUGUGCAUACAAUGUACACAUUUCAUCAUUCAUACGUUCAACGUAUGUUUAAUGUACAUUUAUAAUGUAUAGGUACUUGUAAUGUAUAUUUGAUGCUUCAAUUGCAACCCAAUGCAGGUGUACAAUGUGUACACUUCGUCAAGUUCAAUGUAUAUUUAAU